AGAGUUUGAUCCUGGCUCAGAAUGAACGCUGGCGGCGUGCCUAACACAUGCAAGUCGCACGAGAACCCCUGUAGCAAUACGGGGUAGUAAAGUGGCGUACGGGUGAGUAGCGCGUAGGUAAUCUACCUUCAAAAUUGGGAUAACAUUGCGAAAGCGAUGCUAAUACCGAAUGACAUGGUUAAAGUGAAGGCUUUAACGAUGAAAGACAGCCUCUGCAUGCAAGCUGUUGUUUGGAGAGGAGCCUGCGUACCAUUAGCUAGUUGGCAGGGUAAAGGCCCACCAAGGCGACGACGGGUACCCGGGCUAAGAGGCUGACCGGGCACAUCGGCACUGAGACACUGGCCGGACACCUACGGGUGGCUGCAGUUCGGAAUAUUGGGCAAUGGGCGCAAGCCUGACCCAGCGACGCCGCGUGGAGGAUGAAGGCCCUCUGGGUUGUAAACUUCUGUCACGGGUGAACAAAUCGGUUCAAGUUAACACCUUGAGCCGUUGAGCUUAGCCUGGGAGGAAGCCCCCGCUAAUCACGUGCCAGCAGCGGCGGUAAUACGUGAGGGGCAAACGUUGUUCGGUGUCACUGGGCUUAAAGGGUGCGUAGGCGGCUGUGCAAGUAAGGUGUGAAAGCCCUCGGCUUACCCGGGGAACUGCGCCUUAAACUGCAUGGCUUGAGGGCCACAGGGGUUGGAGGAACUCCGGUGUAGCGGUGAAAUGCGUAGAUUUGGGAGGAACACCGGUGCGACGUCCAACUGGGUGGUACCUGACGCUAGCACGAAACGUGGGGAGCAAACAGGAUAGAUACCCUGGUAGUC
rnacentral:rRNA from 1 species